UCCCGUAAACCGUAGCUCAGUUCAGAUCGUAGGCUGCAACUCGCCUACGUGAAGGAGGAAUCGCUAGUAAUCGCAGGUCAGCAUACUGCGGUGAAUACGUUCCCGGGCCUUGUACACACCGCCCGUCACACCAUGGAAGUUGGCCACGCCCGAAGCCGUUACUCCAACCCUCGGGAGGAGGACGUCGAAGGUGGGGCUGAUGACUGGGGUGAAGUCGUAACAAGGUAUCCGUACCGGAAGGUGCGGAUGGAUCACCUCCUAA
rnacentral:rRNA from 1 species